rnacentral:rRNA from 1 species
CCUACGGGGGGCUGCAGUGGGGAAUAUUGGACAAUGGGCGAAAGCCUGAUCCAGCCAUGCCGCGUGUGUGAAGAAGGCCUUCGGGUUGUAAAGCACUUUCAGUGGGGAAGAAAGCCUUGGGGCUAAUACCCUCGAGGAAGGACAUCACCCACAGAAGAAGCACCGGCUAACUCCGUGCCAGCAGCCGCGGUAAUACGGAGGGUGCGAGCGUUAAUCGGAAUUACUGGGCGUAAAGCGCGCGUAGGCGGUCUGAUAAGCCGGUUGUGAAAGCCCCGGGCUCAACCUGGGAACGGCAUCCGGAACUGUCAGGCUAGAGUGCAGGAGAGGAAGGUAGAAUUCCCGGUGUAGCGGUGAAAUGCGUAGAGAUCGGGAGGAAUACCAGUGGCGAAGGCGGCCAUCUGGACUGACACUGACGCUGAGGUGCGAAAGCGUGGGUAGCAAACAGGAUUAGAUACCCGAGUAGUC